rnacentral:rRNA from 1 species
CCCUAAACGAUGUCAACUGGUUGUUGGGAGGGUUUCUUCUCAGUAACGUAGCUAACGCGUGAAGUUGACCGCCUGGGGAGCACGGCCGCAAGGUUGAAACUCAAAGGAAUUGACGGGGACCCGCACAAGCGGUGGAUGAUGUGGUUUAAUUCGAUGCAACGCGAAAAACCUUACCUACCCUUGACAUGUCUGGAAUCCUGAAGAGAUUUGGGAGUGCUCGAAAGAGAGCCAGAACACAGGUGCUGCAUGGCCGUCGUCAGCUCGUGUCGUGAGAUGUUGGGUUAAGUCCCGCAACGAGCGCAACCCUUGCCAUUAGUUGCUACGAAAGGGCACUCUAAUGAGACUGCCGGUGACAAACCGGAGGAAGGUGGGGAUGACGUCAGGUCAUCAUGGCCCUUAUGGGUAGGGCUACACACGUCAUACAAUGGCCGGGACAGAGGGCUGCCAACCCGCGAGGGGGAGCUAAUCCCAGAAACCCGGUCGUAGUCCGGAUCGUAGUCUGCAACUCGACUGCGUGAAGUCGGAAUCGCUAGUAAUCGCGGAUCAGCUUGCCGCGGUGAAUACGUUCCCGGGUCUUGUACACACCGCCCGUCACACCAUGGGAGCGGGUUCUGCCAGAAGUAGUUAGCCUAACCGCAAGGGGGGCG